rnacentral:rRNA from 1 species
CCUACGGGUGGCAGCAGUGAGGAAUAUUGGUCAAUGGCCGAGAGGCUGAACCAGCCAAGUCGCGUGCGGGAAGACGGCCCUACGGGUUGUAAACCUCUUUUGUCGGGGAGCAAAGCGAACCACGUGUGUCUGAUUGAGAGUACCCGACGAAAAAGCAUCGGCUAACUCCGUGCCAGCAGCCGCGGUAAUACGGAGGAUGCGAGCGUUAUCCGGAUUUAUUGGGUUUAAAGGGUGCGGAGGCGGAGGUACAAGUUAGAGGUAAAAUUCCGGGGCUCAACCCCGUACUGCCGUUGAAACUGCAUCCCUUGAGAGCGCGAGAGGUAGGCGGAAUGCGUGGUGUAGCGGUGAAAUGCAUAGAGAUCACGCAGAACACCGAUUGCGAAGGCAGCAUACCGGCGCGCAACUGACGCUCAUGCACGAAAGCGUGGGGAGCGAACAGGAUUAGAUACCCGUGUAGUC